rnacentral:lncRNA from 1 species
AGGCAUGAGCCACCACACCAGGCUGAGGCUCUGCGUUUCUAACAAGCUGUCUGGUGACUACAGUGUGAGUGUGGGAACAGUGCUUUGAAAAGCCAGGCUUGAGAUGCCCCCUUACAGCCUGCAAGUGAUGUCCCUGCCUGCCUUGUGUUUGUGUGUGAUUAUAUUUGACCUAAGUUGUGCUGCUAUCAUUGUCACAGCUGAAAAGGGAUGAAGACAGCCAACUAUUAUGUGGCAGCCUUCUGGUUACCAAGAACAUGCACAAUUGUCAGAGCGGAAUCCAUGAGAUAGAAUUUAUGGGCACACAUACUUGGUGGACCAGAACUGGGAGCUGCGUGCCAUCAGCACUCCCUGUCUCUGCUCAUCCUUUCUUUCUGCUGCCUGGGCCUAACUUCUCUGGGCACAGGCUUUCUCCAGCAUCUUAGACUAAACACCAGCUAGAAUGUGGAGUUAGGCAAUCAAGUGUGAAACUUAACUUGUACUUGUCUUAGAAGCAGCAAAGGCAGCUGGGCCAGCUGAUAGACAAGGAACGCUGUCCUCCCAGAACCAGCCACGGGUGCAGAUGAUGGGCACUGCGGAGCCUGCUGUCUUACAGAAGCUGAUCCUGGAGGGUGCCUUUCAAUCCUCGAUGUCAGGAGGUUUUCUUUUAGAAAACAAUCUGAUUCAGAAUAAUGACUGCAAUUUUUCACUGGAUGGAAAACAAGUCUAGAGGAAUUGACCCUUAUUUUAAGUUCAAAGAUAGUAUAUCCUUGUUACUACUGUUACAUGUUUUAUAGCCAAUCUUCAAGACCACCUCUGGGCAAUGAAGUUAUUUGUGAUGGAAACACUUAGGUUCUUGAUUAAGUGAAUAUUAAAAAAAAAUCACUAUCAGAGAAAAGUAUACCUGAUACAAUGACUAGAACUGAAAAAUUAUGAACAAAUAGCAAAACAAUUAGUACUAUUUGACAAAAAGAAGUAAUCACCAAUAUAAAACUUUGGUAUGAUGUUCUAAACAUACGAAUAUCCACUUUUUAGCCAAACAUAAUGAUGCUUCUUUUGACACUGACUAUCCAACAUUUCUUGAGAAGAGUGGAUAGUUUCUAAGUCUAGAAGACAUGAUUUUGGAAUUUGAAGCUAGAAUGUCUGAACAUGUAGUACAGAUUAAAAAAAAACAAAUUAAAACUAUCUAGAAUGGCAAAAUAAAAAUGAAAUUAUCUUUUAA